AUUGAACGCUGGCGGCAGGCUUAACACAUGCAAGUCGAACGAGUCGCGGACGGGUGAGUAAUGCUUGGGAAUCUCGCUUAUGGAGGGGGAUAACUACGGGAAACUGUCGCUAAUCCCGCGUUCCCUAGGAUGCGCCCAAGUGGGUUUAGGUAGUUGGUGAGGUAAAGGCUCACCAAGGCGACGAUCUCUAGCUGGUCUGAGAGGAUGACCAGCCAAACUGGGACUGAGACACGGCCCAGACUCCUACGGGAGGCAGCAGUGGGGAAUAUUGCGCAAUGGGGGAAACCUGACGCAGCCAUGCCGCGUGAAUGAAGAAGGCCUUCGGGUUGUAAAGUUCUUUCGGUAGCGAGGCGUUAACUACAGAAGAAGCACCGGCUAACUCCGUGCCAGCAGCCGCGGUAAUUC
rnacentral:rRNA from 1 species